rnacentral:rRNA from 1 species
GCUGAGUCCGUGACAGAGGCGCGGGUAAUGCGGAGGGGCCGGUGGUGAGUCGGAAGGACUAGGCGUAAAGCGCGCGCAGGCUGCUGCUUAAGGCAGGGGUGAAGUCCUGGAGCUCAACGCCUGAACUGCACUUGAUACUGGGGAGCUAGAGUCCGGGAGAGGUGAGGAGAACUGCGGGUGGAGAGGUGAAAUUCGUAGAUAUUCGGAAGAACACCAGUGGCGAAGGCGGCUCACUGGCCAGGGACUGACGCUGAGGUGCGAAAGCGUGGGGAGCAAACAGGAUUAGAUACCCCAGUAGUC